GAGGCGGUUAGGGAACGGGUGCUAGUGAUUUCCGACAUCACUCUCGACGGGCAGGGACGCAUCCCGUCCGUCGCUCC
rnacentral:tRNA from 1 species